rnacentral:tRNA from 1 species
GGGUGUAGCGCAGCUGGUAGCGCGCCUGCUUUGGGAGCAGGAUGUCGGGGGUUCAAGUCCCUUCACU